GACGAACGCUGGCGGCGUGCUUAACACAUGCAAGUCGAACGGAAAGGCCUGCUUUCCCUUGUGGAUUGCGGGUACUCGAGUGGCGAACGGGUGAGUAACACGUGAGUGAUCUGCCCCCAACUUGGGUAUAAGCCUGGGAAACUGGGUCUAAUUCCCGAUAGGACUGCAGGGUGGUGCCUGCGGUGGAAAACGAUUUUCUAGUGGUUGGGGAUGAGCUCGCGGCCUAUCAGCUUGUUGGUGGGGUAAUGGCCUACCAAGGCGGCGACGGGUAGCCGGCCUGAGAGGGUGGACGGCCACAUUGGGACUGGGACACGGCCCAGACUGCUACGGGAGGCAGCAGUGGGGAAUAUUGCACAAUGGGCGGAAGCCUGAUGCAGCGACGCCGCGUGGGGGAUGACGGCCUUCGGGUUGUAAACUCCUUUCGACCGCGAGGAAGCCACCUGGUUGGAAGGGUGGUGACGGUAGUGGUAGAAGAAGCACCGGCUAACUACGUG
rnacentral:rRNA from 1 species